AGUUUCGAAAAAAGCUCCUGCUUCUGCUGCACCCAAUCCCUCACACAGAAAAAGUUUAAGAUUAUGAAGAAAAUGUAACGGUCACUUUUUGGGGAAACGUACGUGGCUGCACGAAAAAUUGUUGAACGAAUAAAAUGACUUAAAUGUGGUCGUUCGUCUUGUGGACUCUGUGGUGUUGGUGUGGAGGCUCAAGGCUCCCCAUGCUGCUGUUUGGCAGAUAAACAGCAUCCCCUUUCAUUGGAGGAACUACCGAUGUCGGAUCGAGUUACGGAUGUCUUCUUCCCCUUUCGUUCAAUCCACUCUGUCCUCGUGUACACCCAUGUGAGUGUGGGUGUAUUCACGAGGGCCCCCAUUUUCCUAUCCCGCCUGGUGUAAUUCUACUUUGAUGGUCUAAGCACCUGUGGAUGCCCGGCCGUAUUUCGCAGGCUUUAAGAUAUUUGGAAGACCUAAAUAAAAAGACGCAUCGCCAAGUUCGUGUACCUGCACCUUUAAAUCUCCCCUUGGUUUGCAUGGCUUUUCGCUGUUCAAUCGACGAAUUCAAAUAGAAUGCGAUGCUAUAACGAGGAGGUAGAUGAAGAACCCCGAAAAAACGAGUUUAUUUCGGCCUAAAUGAGUGACGAAUCGCGUGUUUAAUCAGUCAUGACUUAGUAUGAGUACGAUAUUAUUCCUGAGCUGCUUAUUCGGAACUGCUUCUCUUGUAUUUCACAACUUUGCCUUUUGCGUUUGCUAAACAACCACAGAAUUCACACGACGAUCACAUUUUUCUAAUUUGAUUUGUUGUGCAAUUUUACGUGCAGCCACGUACGUUUCAAAAAAAAGUUAUGUGUCCAUUUUUGUAUAAAUCUUAUUAAACUUCGUCUCUUUUUUCCAAAACUGGUGAACAAGACUAGAGCAGACGACACUAAUAUUCUAAAUAGAAGAUAUCGAUUACAAUUAAAAAUCGACCCCCCCCCGCCAAAUUCAAACCUAUUACCUUAUCUUAUUUUUAUUGUAUUCUUUUCCAUGCACCAGUCCAAUCUUCAU